GGCUUAGGCAGUGUUUCCAACCAACUAAUUGAUCACAACCAGUUACAGAUUCCUUUGUUCCUUCUCCACUCCCACUGCUUCACCUGACCAGCCUUUA
rnacentral:Y_RNA from 1 species